rnacentral:rRNA from 1 species
AUUGAACGCUGGCGGCAUGCUUUACACAUGCAAGUCGAACGGCAGCGCGGGCUUCGGCCUGGCGGCGAGUGGCGAACGGGUGAGUAAUGCAUCGGAACGUGCCCAGUAGUGGGGGAUAGCCCGGCGAAAGCCGGAUUAAUACCGCAUACGACCUGAGGGUGAAAGCGGGGGACCGAAAGGCCUCGCGCUAUUGGAGCGGCCGAUGUCGGAUUAGCUAGUUGGUGGGGUAAAGGCUUACUAAGGCGACGAUCCGUAGCUGGUCUGAGAGGACGACCAGCCACACUGGGACUGAGACACGGCCCAGACUCCUACGGGAGGCAGCAGUGGGGAAUUUUGGACAAUGGGGGCAACCCUGAUCCAGCCAUGCCGCGUGCGGGAAGAAGGCCUUCGGGUUGUAAACCGCUUUUGUUCGGGAAGAAAUCCUCUGGGCUAAUACCCCGGGGGGAUGACGGUACCGGAAGAAUAAGCACCGGCUAACUACGUG